rnacentral:rRNA from 1 species
ACGAACGCUGGCGGCAGGCCUCAAACAUGCAAGUCUGGGGGGUGUGUAGGCAAUACAUCACCGGCGGACGGGUGCGUAACACGUGGGAACAUACCUUUCGGUACGGAACAACUGAGGGGAAACUUCAGCUAAUACCGUAUGCUCCGGAAACGGCAAAGAUUAUCGCCGAAGGAUUGGCCCGCGUUCGAUUAGCUAGUUGGCGAGGUAAUGGCUCACCAAGGCAACGAUCGAUAGCUGUUCUGAGAGGAAGAUCAGCCACACUGGGACUGAGACACGGCCCAGACUCCUACGGGAGGCAGCAGUUGGGAAUCUUGGACAAUGGGGGAAACCCUGAUCCAGCCAUGCCGCGUGAGUGAUGAAGGCCUUCGGGUUGUAAAGCUCUUUUACCCGGGAAGAUAAUGACUGUACCGGGAGAAUAAGCUCCGGCUAACUUCGUGCCAGCAGCCGCGGGUAAUACGAAGGGGGCUAGCGUUGUUCGGAAUUACUGGGCGUAAAGCGCGCGCAGGCGGUUUCUCAAGUCAGUGGUGAAGCCCGGAGCUCAACUUCGGAAUUGCCAUUGAAACUGUGAAACUUGAGGACGAGAGAGGUGAGUGGAAUUCCCAGUGUAGAGGUGAAAUUCGUAGAUAUUGGGAAGAACACCAGUGGCGAAGGCGGCUCACUGGCUCGUUUCUGACGCUCAGGGCGCGACAGCGUGGGGAUCAAACAGGAUUAGAUACCCUGGUAGUCCACGCCGUAAACGAUGGAUGCUAGCCGUUGGGCAGCUUGCUGUUCAGUGGCGCAGCUAACGCAUUAAGCAUCCCGCCUGGGGAGUACGGGCCGCAAGGUUGAAACUCAAAGGAAUUGACGGGGGCCCGCACAAGCGGUGGAGCAUGUGGUUUAAUUCGACGCAACGCGCAGAACCUUACCAGGGUUUGCCAUCCUGCGACCGCCCCCUAAAAGGGGUUUUUCCCGCAAGGGACGCAGAGACAGGUGCUGCAUGGCUGUCGUCAGCUCGUGUCGUGAGAUGUUGGGUUAAGUCCCGCAACGAGCGCAACCCUCGCCUUUAGUUGCCAUCAUUCAGUUGGGCACUCUAGAGGGACCGCCGGCGACAAGCCGGAGGAAGGUGGGGAUGAUGUCAAGUCCUCAUGGCCCUUACAACCCUGGGCUACACACGUGCUACAAUGGCGGUGACAGUGGGCAGCUACUUCGCGAGGAGCGGCUAAUCCCAAAAAACCGUCCCAGUUCAGAUUGCACUCUGCAGCUCGAGUGCAUGAAGGUGGAAUCGCUAGUAAUCGCUAAUCAGCAGGUAGCGGUGAAUACGUUCCCGGGCCUUGUACACACCGCCCGUCACGGCAUGGGUGUUGGUUCUACCCGAAGACGGUGCGCUAACCGCAAGGAGGCAGCCGGCCACGGUAGGAUCAGCGACUGGGCCG